rnacentral:lncRNA from 1 species
UCUUUAAUGAGAUUCUAAGCAAUAAAUCAUCGUCGAUCGUAUUGUUCUUGCUCUGGACGGAGUGUGCUUGAGGAUUCGAGUGGGCGUUGUGGAUUCGACGUGUUGAAGCUUCGUGGAUUCGAAGUGUUGGCGUUUCGUGGAUUCGGGACGUGGUGUUCAUGGAUUCGAACGUGGGGCGUGGACAACCAGUUGGUGUGCGUGAGAUCUAAAGAAGAUAAAAGAGAGGUUUGAGUCCGUGGAUUUGGUAAUCACCUUAUAAUCUUUUAUUUCUUAAUAGAUUUUUAUCGCGUGUUGGUCCCGUGGGUUUUUUACUCCUAGUUUGAGUCCGUGGAUUUAUUUUUAUCACAUUG